AAAGGUGCUGCGGUCUGCCUCACAGUCAGACGGCCACAUGGUUCUCCUUUGGGCUGGGGUUUAUUUGUGGGAUAUCCUUUUUUCUUCUUUUAUGAAGGCCGGCUGCCAAAGGCUAAAGCAAUUUGACUAGUUUAUCCUGGAAAAACUGCAAGAUCUGGGAACUGGAUUGUUAAAUCUGUGGAAUAAAGACUAUUUUGAUUUCUUUUCUCUGGAGAGGUGAACUGAAAGCAGUGGAGCCAAGGAGGCUGGAUGAAGAGCAGAGCGCUCAGGGUGUGAGGAGACCGGCCCGGGAGCGGAGGAGAGAGGGAGAACCACGAGAGAGAGAGAGGGAGAACCACGAGAGCGAGAGGGGGAGAGAGAGAGAGAGAGAGAGAGAGAGAGAGAGAGAGAGAGAGAGAGAGAGAGAGAGAGAGAGAGAGAGAGAGAGAGAGAGAGAGAGAGAGAGAGAGAGAGAGAGAGAGAGAGAGAGA
ensembl:lncRNA